rnacentral:misc_RNA from 1 species
UGGUUCUGGCAUCGAUGAAGAACGCAGCGAAAUGCGAUAAGUAAUGUGAAUUGCAGAAUUCAGUGAAUCAUCGAAUCUUUGAACGCACAUUGCACCUAUUAGUAUUCUAGUAGGUAUGCCUGUUCGAGCGUCAUUUCAAACCUCAAGCGUCUGCUUGCUGUUGGAGCAUUGCGCACUUCCCUUUCAAGGGAACGCAAGCCCUGAAUUAUAGUGGCGGAGCUGCUGUAGACUCUGAGCGUAGUACUACUAUUCGCUUCUGAAAUCUCGGUGGUGCCUGCCGUAAAACCCACUAUAUUUUCUCUUGUUUGACCUCGGAUCAGGUAGGAAUACCCGCUGA